rnacentral:lncRNA from 1 species
CUUCCCAUAUUAAUCUCUAGUCCAUCCGAAAAACUAGUAAGACUGCGAUGAUGAUAUGAAACUCAGCACUGGAAAAGCUCAAGGGCUAGUGGUUGAGUGGGGUUGGGAAAGAGAAGGGAAGGGUAUGUCCUUUGGAAGGGUUGGGAUGGUAGGUAGUGUGGGCUUAAGCAGGUCAGGUAGAUGGGGCAGACUAGGCAAUUCUGGCAGUUCAGGCUUCUCCAAAGCUGGGACAUGUGGAACGGUUGGCAAUUCAGGCUUGGGCAAAGUCGGCAGCUGGGGCUCUUGUAGAGUUGGGACAUGAGGCAGAGGUGGAAGCUCAACCUUGGGAAGAGGUGGCAGUUCAAAUUUAGGCAAAGUAGGGAGUGUAGGAAGAGGUGGCAAUUCCACCUUAUGAAGCUCAGGAACCGUAGGCAAUGUGGUUUCGAGAAGGUGACGAGAUGCAAGAACUUCUUUGCCACUCAUUAGGGACAGAGUGAUGAGCAGCAGAGGCAACAGAAUGGAUGGUUCAUGGUGAUGAGCCAUUUCUGAAUUGCUAAAAGACUGAGA